rnacentral:pre_miRNA from 1 species
GUAAAAAGGAACCAGAUCAACUUGCAACUGGAUUUGGUCCCCUUCAACCAGCUGCAGCGGCGCAUGAGC